AGAGUUUGAUCCUGGCUCAGGAUGAACGCUGGCGGCGUGCUUAACACAUGCAAGUCGAACGGAGUUAUGAAGAGUUUACUUUUCAUAACUUAGUGGCGGACGGGUGAGUAACGCGUGAGUAACCUGCCCUUUACCGGGGGAUAACACUUAGAAAUAGGUGCUAAAACCGCAUAAGCGCACGGUACCGCAUGGUACAGUGUGAAAAACUCCGGUGGUAAAGGAUGGACUCGCGUCUGAUUAGCCAGUUGGUGAGGUAACGGCCCACCAAAGCGACGAUCAGUAGCCGGCCUGAGAGGGUGAACGGCCACAUUGGGACUGAGACACGGCCCAAACUCCUACGGGAGGCAGCAGUGGGGGAUAUUGCACAAUGGGGGAAACCCUGAUGCAGCGACGCCGCGUGAGUGAAGAAGUAUUUCGGUAUGUAAAGCUCUAUCAGCAGGGAAGAAAAUGACGGUACCUGACUAAGAAGCCCCAGCUAACUACGUGCCAGCAGCCGCGGUAAUACGUAGGGGGCAAGCGUUAUCCGGAUUUACUGGGUGUAAAGGGAGCGUAGACGGUCCGACAAGUCUGAUGUGAAAGGUGUGGGCUCNACUCACAAACUGCAUUGGAAACUGCCAGACUGGAGUGCANGAGANNNAAGCGGAAUUCCUGGUGUAGCGGUGAAAUGCUUAGAUAUCNNNGGAACACCGGCGGCGAANNCGGCUUACUGGACUGNAACUGANGUUGANGNUCGAAAGCGUGGGUAGCAAACNNNANUANAUACCCUGGUAGUCCACGCCNNAAACGAUGAUCACUNNNNNUGGGGAGGCAAAGCCUUUCAGUGCCGUCGCAAACGCAAUAAGUGAUCCACCUGGGGAGUACGUUCGCAAGAAUGAAACUCAAAGGAAUUGACGGGGACCCGCACAAGCGGUGGAGCAUGUGGUUUAAUUCGAAGCAACGCGAAGAACCUUACCAAGUCUUGACAUCCCUCUGAAUAUCGGGGUAAUGCCUGAUAGGCCUUCGGGACAGAGGAGACAGGUGGUGCAUGGUUGUCGUCAGCUCGUGUCGUGAGAUGUUGGGUUAAGUCCCGCAACGAGCGCAACCCUUAUUUUCAGUAGCCAGCAUUUUAAGAUGGGAACUCUGAAGAGACUGCCGGGGUCAACCCGGAGGAAGGUGGGGAUGACGUCAAAUCAUCAUGCCCCUUAUGACUUGGGCCACACACGUGCUACAAUGGCGUAAACAAAGGGAAGCGAGCCUGUGAAGGUAAGCAAAUCCCAAAAAUAACGUCUCAGUUCGGAUUGUAGUCUGCAACUCGACUACAUGAAGCUGGAAUCGCUAGUAAUCGCGAAUCAGAAUGUCGCGGUGAAUACGUUCCCGGGUCUUGUACACACCGCCCGUCACACCAUGGGAGUCGGAAAUGCCCGAAGCCGGUGACCUAACCGAAAGGGAGGAGCCGUCGAAGGCAGGUCUGAUAGCUGGGGUGAAGUCGUAACAAGGUAGCC
rnacentral:rRNA from 1 species